UUAUAAUUUUUUUUAAUUCUAUUGAAUAAACGCAAAAAUGUCGGAAAAAGCAUCAAAUUUUAGAAUAAGUUUAGAUUUCUUAGAAUUGGUCACCUUUGGUACAAAUUAUGGUCUUCAAACGGCCAAUGAAAGCGUCAUAUGAUGCCCGAAUGUUGUUCUGUGGUAUUUUUGGCCCAUUCCCGGCGAAGAGCCUGCUUGAGGUGAUCGACAAUUUGGUAUUUUUUAGUGCCAACCUUGCUUUCCAAAAUACUCCAGACACAAUAGUCCAACGGAUUGGUAUCCGGAGAUUGUGGUGGUCAUUUUGCGCUGGAAAUGAAGCGAGGAACCUCAUUUUAUGGACAUUCUUGGGUGGCGCGUGCUGAGUGUGAUGGUGCUGAGUCCUGUUGGAAUGUCCAGGGUCUGCGGCCAAAAUGUUUGCGUGCCCAAGGCUUUAAUACACCCUCCAGAAUAUUUUUGCGAUAAUAUUCGGCAUUUAUUCUGAUGUCACGGUCGAUUAAUACGAGCGGAGAGCGACCAUCGACUGUUAUGGCCGGCGUUUGGGUUCUGUUGGCCAACCGAAGGUGCACAUUUUCAGCUGACCUCUUUGGCAAGUAAAUACGAUAAUUUUGUUUGUUUACAAACUGCUGGACAACGAAUGUUUUCUCAUCGGAGAAAACCAAAUUCGGCAGUACACCACUUUCGGCCAAGCAAAGCAACUCUUUAGCUCUUUUGAG